rnacentral:rRNA from 1 species
GUUGUAUAGUCAAGUAAUUAAGUGCAUGUGGUGGAUGCCUUGGCAGUCAGAGGCGAUGAAAGACGUGAUAGCCUGCGAAAAGCUCCGGGGAGGCGGCAAAUAUCCUUUGAUCCGGAGAUGUCUGAAUGGGGGAACCCACCUACUUUAAGGUAGGUAUUGCAACAUGAAUACAUAGUGUUGCAAGGCGAACGAGGGGAAGUGAAACAUCUCAGUACCCUUAGGAAAAGAAAUCAAUUGAGAUUCCCUCAGUAGCGGCGAGCGAACGGGGAUCAGCCCAUUAAGUUAUGUGUGUUUUAGUGGAACGCUCUGGGAAGUGCGAACGUAGAGGGUGAUAUUCCCGUACACGAAAGGGCACACAUAAUGAUGACGAGUAGGGCGAGGCACGUGAAACCUUGUCUGAAUAUGGGGGGACCAUCCUCCAAGGCUAAAUACUCCUGACUGACCGAUAGUGAACCAGUACCGUGAGGGAAAGGCGAAAAGAACCCCUGUGAGGGGAGUGAAAUAGAUCCUGAAACCGCAUGCAUACAAGCAGUGGGAGCACCUUCGUGGUGUGACUGCGUACCUUUUGUAUAAUGGGUCAGCGACUUAUAUUCAGUAGCGAGGUUAACCGUAUAGGGGAGCCGUAGAGAAAUCGAGUCUUAAUAGGGCGUUUAGUUGCUGGGUAUAGACCCGAAACCAGGCGAUCUAUCCAUGAGCAGGUUGAAGGUUGGGUAACACUAACUGGAGGACCGAACCCACUGUCGUUGAAAAGCCAGGGGAUGACUUGUGGAUAGGGGUGAAAGGCUAAUCAAGCCUGGUGAUAGCUGGUUCUCCCCGAAAGCUAUUUAGGUAGCGCCUCGGACGAAUACCAUAGGGGGUAGAGCACUGUUUCGGCUAGGGGGUCAUC